GCUUUGGCCAAUUUGGACCGUCUGUCUCUACUACUACCCCACUGAUUUUUCACCUGCUACUACAAUUAAUUAACAAACAAUCUAUCCACGGCCUUCCUCUACUGAACAUACCUGGCCUCUAAGGACCUCCUGAACUACCUCAGGCUUUGGCCAAUUUGGACCGUCUGUCUCUACUACUACCCCACUGAUUUUUCACCUGCUACUACAAUUAAUUAACAAACAAUCUAUCCACGGCCUUCCUCUACUGAACAUACCUGGCCUCUAAGGACCUCCUGAACUACCUCAGGCUUUGGCCAAUUUGGACCGUCUGUCUCUACUACUACCCCACUGAUUUUUCACCUGCUACUACAAUUA